rnacentral:rRNA from 1 species
UGGNUUACGCUUUUGCGUAGAUGCUCACUUCUUAGAGGGACUUUCGGUGACUAACCGAAGAAGUUGNNNNNNACACUGAUGCAUGCAACGAGUUUACUUUUCCUGGGUCGAGAGGCCCGGGUAAUCUGUUGAACGUGCAUCGUGAUAGGGAUAGAUCAUUGCAAUUAUUGAUCUUGAACGAGGAAUUCCUAGUAAACSCGAGUCAUCAGCUCGCAUUGAUUACGUCCCUGCCCUUUGUACACACCGCCCGUCGCACCUACCGAUUGAAUGUUUCGGUGAAGAUUCCGGACUGUGGCUCGGGCGCUUCACGGCGCUCUUGCCGUGGGAAGUUAUCUAAACCUCAACAUUUAGAGGAAGGUGAAGUCGUAACAAGGUUUCCGUAGGUGAACCUGCGGAAGGAUCA